rnacentral:lncRNA from 1 species
GGUAGAUAUGGAUUUUUAACUACCCAUGCAAGAUGACCAGAUCAGAUACAGAUAACGGUAAUUUGCUCAGGUACAUUUUCGACUUACCAAACUAUGGUACGAUCUAUGACCACGAUUGUACCAACCACUGUAGUCCUAUCAGGUAUUCAAUAGCCACGACAAUACUUAGCCAAAGACGACCUCUAACAGUUAUUCACAUCACUACUCUCAUCAGAGGGUAUGUCGUCAUCCAC